ensembl:snoRNA
GUACUAUGAUGGUUGCAUAGUUUGGUAGAUUGAAUAUAAAAGAGGUAACGUGUCUGAUGUAUCU